rnacentral:rRNA from 1 species
UACGUAGGGUGCGAGCGUUAAUCGGAAUUACUGGGCGUAAAGCGUGCGCAGGCGGUUUUGUAAGCCAGAUGUGAAAUCCCCGGGCUUAACCUGGGAAUGGCAUUGUGACUGCACGGCUAGAGUGUGUCAGAGGGGGGUAGAAUUCCACGUGUAGCAGUGAAAUGCGUAGAGAUGUGGAGGAAUACCGAUGGCGAAGGCAGCCCCCUGGGAUAACACUGACGCUCAUGCACGAAAGCGUGGGGAGCAAACAGG